CACACAGAGCUCAUCAUACGUGG
rnacentral:piRNA from 1 species